GAUGAACGCUGGCGGCGUGCCUAAUACAUGCAAGUCGAGCGAACAGACGAGGAGCUUGCUCCUCGGACGUUAGCCGCGGACGGGUGAGUAACACGUGGAUAACCUACCUAUAAGACUGGGAAAACUUCGGGAAACCGGAGCUAAUACCGGAUAAGAUAUUGAACCGCAUGGUUCAAUAGUGAAAGACGGUUUUGCUGUCACUUAUAGAUGGAUCCGCGCCGCAUUAGCUAGUUGGUAAGGUAACGGCUUACCAAGGCAACGCUGCGUAGCCGACCUGAGAGGGUGAUCGCCCACCCUGGACCUGAGCCACGGUCCAGACUCCUACGGGAGGAAGCAGUAGGGAAUCUUCCGCAAUGGGCGAAAGCCUGACGGGGCAACGCCGCGUGAGUGAUGAAGGUUUUCGGAUCGUAAAACUCUGUUAUUAGGGAAGAACAAAUGUGUAAGUAACUAUGCACGUCUUGACGGUACCUAAUCAGAAAGCCACGGCUAACUACGUG
rnacentral:rRNA from 1 species